UGGCAUAAUUAUCCUAACAUUAUCUCUUCUUUAUCUCCUAAUUAUCUCUAAGAUUGCAUAUGGAAUAGAUGAAAGAUUGGGUGGCGCCUACUUUUAUUUUUGGUAUGAAAUGGGCACCAAAUCUCAGGAUAUAGCAGAGGGGCCCACCCCCUCUUAUGUGGCACGGUGUGGAGGAGAAAGAGUGGGGCCACACCCCCUCUUAUUUGGCUAGAAAUUACUUUGUGGG
rnacentral:lncRNA from 1 species